GUAACUGUCAUUGGAUGGGAUUUUGAAUGUUAAUGCCUGACUGGGUACAUACACUGUCCAUCAAAUGAAACCGGAAGAAAGGUUACAUAUCGAAACAAUUUGUAAGGAAGGAUAGUGGUGUGUCCUUACCGAGCUGUUACGCCAUGCCAACUUCCCCGGUAAAGACACGGAUCCCGCUCACGAGCUUCGGUCAUCUGAUCACCGAGGUGAAGAGACAGUUGUUUGGUAUGGAGGCUCCAGCUACUGUUAACCUGACUGGCUGGAGGAGACAUUUCAACAGCUACACACUACAGGGCCGACGCAACUUUGUCCUGGCUACCUAUGGUGUCCUAGCGUUGUCAGCAGCAGCCUAUAUGAUACACAAACGGAGUAAAGAGGACCCCAGAGUAGCCAGCCCCACUGCCUGACUGACACCCUCUCUCAAUGUUCAAUGUCCAAUGUCCAACGCUUUAUUGACCUGAUAUUCACAUUGUUUUCCAAUACUACCAAAUCAGAGAUUCAUAACAGCAGCGCUCUCUCUCUCUUCCGCUCCCUCCCUCUCUUCCGCUCCCUCCCCUCCCUCUCUCUCUCACUCUCUCCCUCCCUCUUCCGCUCCCUCCCUCUCUCCCUCCCUCUUCCGCUCCCUCCCUCCCCUCCCU